rnacentral:rRNA from 1 species
GCGUCGAGCGGCGGACGGGUGAGUAAUGCAUAGGAAUCUGCCCGGUAGUGGGGGAUAACCUGGGGAAACCCAGGCUAAUACCGCAUACGUCCUACGGGAGAAAGCAGGGGAUCUUCGGACCUUGCGCUAUCGGAUGAGCCUAUGUCGGAUUAGCUGGUUGGUGAGGUAAUGGCUCACCAAGGCGACGAUCCGUAGCUGGUCUGAGAGGAUGAUCAGCCACAUCGGGACUGAGACACGGCCCGAACUCCUACGGGAGGCAGCAGUGGGGAAUAUUGGACAAUGGGCGAAAGCCUGAUCCAGCCAUGCCGCGUGUGUGAAGAAGGCUUUCGGGUUGUAAAGCACUUUCAGUGAGGAAGAAGGCCUUGGGGCUAAUACCCCCGAGGAAGGACAUCACUCACAGAAGAAGCACCGGCUAACUCCGUGCCAGCAGCCGCGGUAAUACGGAGGGUGCGAGCGUUAAUCGGAAUUACUGGGCGUAAAGCGCGCGUAGGCGGCGUGAUAAGCCGGUUGUGAAAGCCCCGGGCUCAACCUGGGAACGGCAUCCGGAACUGUCAGGCUAGAGUGCAGGAGAGGAAGGUAGAAUUCCCGGUGUAGCGGUGAAAUGCGUAGAGAUCGGGAGGAAUACCAGUGGCGAAGGCGGCCUUCUGGACUGACACUGACGCUGAGGUGCGAAAGCGUGGGUAGCAAACAGGAUUAGAUACCCUGGUAGUCCACGCCGUAAACGAUGUCGACUAGCCGUUGGGGUCCUUGAGACCUUUGUGGCGCAGUUAACGCGAUAAGUCGACCGCCUGGGGAGUACGGCCGCAAGGGUUAAACUCAAAUGAAUUGACGGGGGCCCGCACAAGCGGUGGAGCAUGUGGUUUAAUUCGAUGCAACGCGAAGAACCUUACCUACCCUUGACAUCGUGCGAACUUUCCAGAGAUGGAUUGGUGCCUUCGGGAGCGCACAGACAGGUGCUGCAUGGCUGUCGUCAGCUCGUGUUGUGAAAUGUUGGGUUAAGUCCCGUAACGAGCGCAACCCUUGUCCCUAUUUGCCAGCGAUUCGGUCGGGAACUCUAGGGAGACUGCCGGUGACAAACCGGAGGAAGGUGGGGACGACGUCAAGUCAUCAUGGCCCUUACGGGUAGGGCUACACACCGUGCUACAAUGGCCGGUACAAAGGGUUGCGAAGCCGCGAGGUGGAGCUAAUCCCGAAAAGCCGGUCUCAGUCCGGAUCGGAGUCUGCAACUCGACUCCGUGAAGUCGGAAUCGCUAGUAAUCGUGAAUCAGAAUGUC